rnacentral:rRNA from 1 species
GUUGUAUAGUCAAGUAAUUAAGUGCAUGUGGUGGAUGCCUUGGCAGUCAGAGGCGAUGAAAGACGUGAUAGCCUGCGAAAAGCUCCGGGGAGGCGGCAAAUAUCCUUUGAUCCGGAGAUGUCUGAAUGGGGGAACCCACCUACUUUAAGGUAGGUAUUGCAACAUGAAUACAUAGUGUUGCAAGGCGAACGAGGGGAAGUGAAACAUCUCAGUACCCUUAGGAAAAGAAAUCAAUUGAGAUUCCCUCAGUAGCGGCGAGCGAACGGGGAUCAGCCCAUUAAGUUAUGUGUGUUUUAGUGGAACGCUCUGGGAAGUGCGAACGUAGAGGGUGAUAUUCCCGUACACGAAAGGGCACACAUAAUGAUGACGAGUAGGGCGAGGCACGUGAAACCUUGUCUGAAUAUGGGGGGACCAUCCUCCAAGGCUAAAUACUCCUGACUGACCGAUAGUGAACCAGUACCGUGAGGGAAAGGCGAAAAGAACCCCUGUGAGGGGAGUGAAAUAGAUCCUGAAACCGCAUGCAUACAAGCAGUGGGAGCACCUUCGUGGUGUGACUGCGUACCUUUUGUAUAAUGGGUCAGCGACUUAUAUUCAGUAGCGAGGUUAACCGUAUAGGGGAGCCGUAGAGAAAUCGAGUCUUAAUAGGGCGUUUAGUUGCUGGGUAUAGACCCGAAACCAGGCGAUCUAUCCAUGAGCAGGUUGAAGGUUGGGUAACACUAACUGGAGGACCGAACCCACUGUCGUUGAAAAGCCAGGGGAUGACUUGUGGAUAGGGGUGAAAGGCUAAUCAAGCCUGGUGAUAGCUGGUUCUCCCCGAAAGCUAUUUAGGUAGCGCCUCGGACGAAUACCAUAGGGGGGUAGAGCACUGUUUCGGCUAGGGGGUCAUCCCGACUUACCAAACCGAUGCAAACUCCGAAUACCUAUGAGUACUAUCCGGGAGACAGACUGCGGGUGCUAACGUCCGUAGUCAAGAGGAAAACAAUCCAGACCGCCAGCUAAGGCCCCAAAAUCAUAGUUAAGUGGGAAACGAUGUGGGAAGGCAUAGACAGCUAGGAGGUUGGCUUAGAAGCAGCCACCCUUUAAAGAAAGCGUAAUAGCUCACUAGUCGAGUCGGCCUGCGCGGAAGAUGUAACGGGGCUAAAACUAUGUGCCGAAGCUGCGGAUGUAUACUUUGUAUACGUGGUAGGGGAGCGUUCUGUAAGCCGAUGAAGGUGUGUUGAGAAGCAUGCUGGAGGUAUCAGAAGUGCGAAUGCUGACGUGAGUAACGACAAAACGGGUGAAAAACCCGUUCGCCGAAAGACCAAGGGUUCCAGUCCAACGUUAAUCGGGGCUGGGUGAGUCGACCCCUAAGGCGAGGCCGAAAGGCGUAGUCGAUGGGAAAAUGGUUAAUAUUCCAUUACUUCUGUGUAAUGCGAUGAGAGGACGGAGAAGGCUAAAUCAGCCUGGCGUUGGUUGUCCAGGUGAAAGGAUGUAGGCAUGUAUCUUAGGCAAAUCCGGGGUACUCUAUGCUGAGAUCUGAUAGCAAGCUGUACUUGUACAGCGAAGUGGUUGAUGCCAUGCUUCCAGGAAAAGUCUCUAAGCUUCAGUUACACAGGAAUCGUACCCGAAACCGACACAGGUGGUCAGGUCGAGUAGACCAAGGCGCUUGAGAGAACUCUGCUGAAGGAACUAGGCAAAAUGGUACCGUAACUUCGGGAGAAGGUACGCUGUUGUUGGUGAUGGAACUCGCUUCCUGAGCUGACGACAGCCGCAGAAACCAGGCCGCUGCAACUGUUUAUUAAAAACAUAGCACUCUGCAAACACGAAAGUGGACGUAUAGGGUGUGAUGCCUGCCCGGUGCUGGAAGGUUAAUUGAUGGGGUUAGCGUAAGCGAAGCUCUUGAUCGAAGCCCCAGUAAACGGCGGCCGUAACUAUAACGGUCCUAAGGUAGCGAAAUUCCUUGUCGGGUAAGUUCCGACCUGCACGAAUGGCAUAAUGAUGGCGGCGCUGUCUCCAGCAGAGGCUCAGUGAAAUCGAAAUCGCUGUGAAGAUGCAGUGUACCCGCGGCUAGACGGAAAGACCCCGUGAACCUUUACUGCAGCUUGACACUGAACUUUGACCUUACUUGUGUAGGAUAGGUGGGAGGCUUUGAAGCUGGAACGCUAGUUCCAGUGGAGCCGUCCUUGAAAUACCACCCUGGUAAUGUUGAGGUUCUAACUCUGUCCCGUGAUCCGGGACGAGGACCGUGUCUGGUGGGUAGUUUGACUGGGGCGGUCUCCUCCUAAAGAGUAACGGAGGAGUACGAAGGUGCGCUCAGCGUGGUCGGAAAUCACGCGUAGAGUAUAAAGGCAAAAGCGCGCUUAACUGCGAGACCCACAAGUCGAGCAGGUACGAAAGUAGGUCUUAGUGAUCCGGUGGUUCUGUAUGGAAGGGCCAUCGCUCAACGGAUAAAAGGUACUCUGGGGAUAACAGGCUGAUACCGCCCAAGAGUUCAUAUCGACGGCGGUGUUUGGCACCUCGAUGUCGGCUCAUCUCAUCCUGGGGCUGAAGCAGGUCCCAAGGGUAUGGCUGUUCGCCAUUUAAAGAGGUACGCGAGCUGGGUUUAGAACGUCGUGAGACAGUUCGGUCCCUAUCUACCGUGGGCGCUGGAAAUUUGAGAGGAUCUGCUCCUAGUACGAGAGGACCAGAGUGGACGAACCUCUGGUGUACCGGUUGUGACGCCAGUCGCAUCGCCGGGUAGCUAUGUUCGGAAGGGAUAACCGCUGAAAGCAUCUAAGCGGGAAGCCUACCUCAAGAUAAGAUUUCCCUAGGACUUUAUGUCCUCUAAAGAGCCGUUCGAGACUAGGACGUUGAUAGGUUGGAUGUGGAAGCAUAGUGAUAUGUGAAGCUGACCAAUACUAAUUGCUCGUGAGGCUUGACUAUACAACACCCAAGCAGUUG